GCUUACGGCCAUACCACCCUGAGCAUGCCCCAUCUCAUCUGAUCUCGGAAGCUAAGCAGUGUCGGGCCUGGUUAUUACUUGGAUGGGAGACCGCCUGGGAAUACCAGGUGCUGUAAGCU
rnacentral:rRNA from 1 species